rnacentral:rRNA from 1 species
AACGUAGGUGGCGAGCGUUAUCCGGAUUUACUGGGCGUAAAGGGUGUGCAGGCGGGCUGUUAAGUGGGGUGUGAAAUAUCCCGGCUCAACCGGGAGAGGUUAUGCCAGACUGGCAGUCUAGAGAGCGAGAGAGGGACGUGGAAUUCCGGGUGUAGUGGUGAAAUGCGUAGAGAUCCGGAGGAACCCCAGAGGCGAAGGCGGCGUCCUGGCUCGCAUCUGACGCUCAGACACGACAGCAUGGGGAGCGAACGGG